AUUCAGAUGGCGAGUCCUAAAUAGGACGGAAUGCGCAUCUUAGAU
rnacentral:hammerhead_ribozyme from 1 species